GAUGAACGCUAGCUACAGGCUUAACACAUGCAAGUCGCAGGGUAACAUGAGGAAAGCUUGCUUUCCUUGAUGACGACUGGCGCACGGGUGAGUAACGCGUAUCCAACCUUCCCAUAACUACGGGAUAACCCGUUGAAAGACGGCCUAAUACCGUAUGACAUCGUUUGCUGACAUCAAAUAACGAUUAAAGGUUUAGCGGUUAUGGAUGGGGUUGCGUCUGAUUAGCUUGUUGGCGGGGUAACGGCCCACCAAGGCGACGAUCAGUAGGGGUUCUGAGAGGAAGGUCCCCCACAAUGGAACCGGGACACCGUCCAAAAUCCUACGGGAGGCAGCAGUGAGGAAUAAUGGGCAAUGGGCGGGAGCCUGGACCAGCCAAGGUGCGUGCAGGAUGACGGCCCUAUGGGUUGUAAACUGCUUUUAUGUGGGGAUAAAGUGCGUGACGUGUCAUGCAUUGCAGGUACCACAUGAAUAAGGACCGGCUAAUUCCGU
rnacentral:rRNA from 1 species